rnacentral:rRNA from 1 species
GACGAACGCUGGCGGCGUGCUUAACACAUGCAAGUCGAACGGAAAGGCCCUGCUUUUGUGGGGUGCUCGAGUGGCGAACGGGUGAGUAACACGUGAGUAACCUGCCCUUGACUUUGGGAUAACUUCAGGAAACUGGGGCUAAUACCGGCUAGGAGCUCCUGCUGCAUGGUGGGGGUUGGAAAGUUUCGGCGGUUGGGGAUGGACUCGCGGCUUAUCAGCUUGUUGGUGGGGUAGUGGCUUACCAAGGCUUUGACGGGUAGCCGGCCUGAGAGGGUGACCGGCCACAUUGGGACUGAGAUGCGGCCCAGACUCCUACGGGAGGCAGCAGUGGGGAAUAGUGCACAAUGGGCGGAAGCCUGAUGCAGCAACGCCGCGUGCGGGAUGACGGCCUUCGGGUUGUAAACCGCUUUCGCCUGUGACGAAGCGUGAGUGACGGUAAUGGGUAAAGAAGCACCGGCUAACUACGUG